UUAGUAUUCCUCCGUCCGAAAUUACUUGUCGUACGAAUAUAUAAAAAUAGAUGUAUAUAAAACUAAAAUACAUCUAGAUACAUCCAUUCAUAUGGCAAGCAUUUUCGGAUGGAGGGAGUAGUUU
rfam:Hordeum vulgare subsp. vulgare, WGS project CAJW01000000 data, contig: morex_contig_51046